UUCUUUUACUUUGCAUCUGCUACUACUAAUUAAACCCAGCCUGUUACAUUACAUGGGAAAACACUAUCUAACUAGAAAGUCCACUAUAUAAAGAAGAUAUAGACAUUGUUCCCAUAGUAGGUUUAAUUUUUUUUUUUUUUUUGGUUAAGGUAAUUCAUUUCAUUAAAAUGAAAGAGAUUACACACUUAGAAAAUGUAAAAAUAAAAACCAGCCCAGCACUGAUAGGUACGAGGCCUCAGCCCAAUAGAAACAAAAAAAGAAGCCACAUAAAUGAAAAAUCCUAAAACAAACAUCUAGCCCAAUACAAACACAAAGGAAGAACCUUAAAUCGGAGAAGCUACAGACGCUACUUCCCCCUUGCCACGCCACUGUUGCAGAUCCACAACAGCCAAAGACGGGUAACUAGUAACUAGACAAACCAUUGCUUAGAACGGAGAAUGGUGGUGGUACAACCUACCCACGCAAAAAGCGCCACUAUAAUUCCAGAAGCAAGUGCAAAGAGCACUUUUGAAACAUCCUCAUCCAUGGAGCCGAAGAGCAGUGGCUGGUGGUUGAGAUCUCGGAUCGGGACAUAGCCAAAGGGAAUGUGUGGAGGACACCAUAACAGAGAAGGGGCAAGGGAUGUAGAUGUGAGGAGUGUAGGUUGAAGAACAACAUUUAUGGGUGGGGAGAGAGUAGAGUGGAAGUGCAGAUAUGGGUUUUCCAAAUUUGGGCAUAAUUUUGGUAAAUUUAAGGUGAGGGUGAAGAGAAAAAAAGUAGAGAAAGUCAAUCAUAGGGAAAAGGGGAAGAGGAGAACUUGAGGGAGAUGUAAUGGAUAGAUGAAGGCGUUUGGAGACACAAAGACUUGUGUCAGAGAUGAGGGAGAUCAUAGGGAUGAGAAUGAGUGAGAGAGGAGAUUCAGAGAGAUAAAGAGUAACAACAAACAAACUAAAAGUAACAUAAACUCUCACAGAGGAGAGGAAGAAUUCUCACAUAGGAGAGAGAAGACUCUCACAAAGGAGAGAGAGAGAGAGAGAGAGAG
rnacentral:lncRNA from 1 species